rnacentral:rRNA from 1 species
UACGUAGGGUGCGAGCGUUAAUCGGAAUUACUGGGCGUAAAGCGUGCGCAGGCGGUUCGUUGUGUCGGUGGUGAAAUCCCCGGGCUUAACCUGGGAAUGGCCAUGGAAACUGGCGAACUGGAGUGCGGCAGAGGGGGGUGGAAUUCCACGUGUAGCAGUGAAAUGCGUAGAGAUGUGGAGGAACACCGAUGGCGAAGGCAGCCCCCUGGGCUAACACUGACGCUCAUGCACGAAAGCGUGGGGAGCAAACAGG